AGGUCCUAUUACUUCAUAAGUUUUUAUACUGGAGUUAUUUAACUGUGGUGCAUUAAAACAUUUAUCUAAUCAAAAUUGUGGAAAGACUUACCGAAAAUCAAACUGCCAAAGUGGAGCAGAACCGUUUCUUUAAAAAAGAUAGGAAACAGGGUAUUUCUGUUAACAUUUUACAUUGGAAGAAAGAAUCACAUCAAGAUAUUUAUUAGUGAUAUUUCAUGUAGGAGAUGUUGUGUUAAAGAAUUCAAAUUGGAGUCAGAAUUCAUCUUCAUGAGUCAGAUUUUACAUUGAAAUCUUUAAAGGGAUAGUCUCUAAGAAGCUUGAGCCGUCCUUUACCUUGAUCUAUAAGCCAUCUUCACAAAGUUCUCUACUUAGCCCAGAUGAACUCAUCCCUUAUAGUAUGAUGCAUUGGAAGAAUUGCUUCAAAGACCCAAGGGUGAACUUGUGGUCAUUUAUGCCCUCUUUACAUUGUACUGCCCUGAUCUGAAUCACACUUGGAACAAGGGAGUCUAUACAGCUUGCACUGCCCCUCCUCUCUUCAGACGCCAGGUCCCAUUCUAGUGGCCAGUUGCAAUGCCGUCUGGUGGAGAAAAAUGACUUGGUUCCACAUCACCACUGUUUUUCCUAAUUUGAGAAGCCUGUUGGAGUAUUAGUUUGCCAGCCUUGUAAAGUUGCAAUGAUUUAUUAGCCAGAAACAAUUGUAUUGUUUCAUGCCCCAUUAAAUAUGAAGAAAUUUAUAAAAUGAUAUUAUUUAAAAUAUAAGAAUUCUUAAGAUUCUGAAUUUUGUCCUAAAUGCAUAACUGGAAUGCCUUUAAGGUUCAUGUAUCACCCUAGACCUUGCAUAUAUACUUAUAUGUAAUUAAAUGUAGUUUUGAAUUGCAUUAAACCAACUCAUAUUUUAGUGUCAAAUUGGAUAAUUAGCCAUAUAGCAGAUAUGUUGUAAGGUUAAUAUUGAGAAUACAAGACAAGAAACUCCCUCGUAAUAAUUGUCUUUUGAUAAUUUGACUUUUCUGUCCUCAUUCACUUUUGUUUAAGGGUUUAUGAGGUCCCUCAUCUCUCUUUCCAUAAUGGUUUGAGGAGACGUGGCACGGGGGAUGGAGGACCAUUUCAACACUCUUUACAGCUGACGGAUAGUCCUGGACAAUGCAGUGCAUUUCUGUAGAGAUUCACUUAUACAGCCCAGUCAACAACCUCAACUGCAGGUCACAGAUCCAAACAACCAAGAAACCCAAUUGCCAGGUCAACAAAAUGGAAUGCUCCAGCACAACAAUCACUAUCAGCCCAUGCAACAGAUGACCUAUCCAUACAAUUACUGGUAGUCAACCCCUCAACACAACCAGAUGCAUUAUGGGCAGCAGAAUUACCAGCAACAGAGCCUUACCUUCCAAUAAGGGAUAUCAAAGCCACCAUGUUUCUAGUUGGCAGAACUUACCAAACCAGACGGUUUACCUUCUUCGUCCAAACUACAUGAUUCUGCAUAUUAUGCUUCUUCUGAACCCAAAGAGCAGAAUUCCACACCUUCCUCCUUUGCCAAGAACCCACAGACACUGGAAGGGUUCCGACAAGAAGCCAGUAAGGCGGAGCUAGGUGCCAGACUCGCCGCCAAACCUGAAGUCAGCGACACCCAGGCUGUCACAAACUACACCAUGUUGACAGCUAUUCAGGAUCUCACCAGAAAUGUACAGGCCUUACAGACCUCAGCGUAUCCUGCCAAAACACCAUUGCCCAGCAUCACGCCUAACCUCUGGGUCACUAUUGUAAUGCUGCAUUUUGGUUUAUUUAUGGACAUGGACAAAUAACCACUUUCUACGCGUGAAACACCGAUUCAAAUUUCCGAACACAAUGAACAACACAACUUUACGGAAAGAGCUUGACAGUGUGCGAAGUUGUGAUCAUCAAUUUAUGGACAUUAAGCUCUGACAUGUGAUACAUGCUAUAAUGAUACAUGUAAUCCCAGUGAUAUGUUGCGUUCUACGUUCAGUGUCGAUAUAUGUGUAGCUUUUGUAACAAUUAUUUCAUUAGAUUAUGAACACAUUUUGUCAUUAUAUUUCUAUUUCAUGUGUGCAGGUUCAUUUUGUGUUGCAAUUAUUGCAAGUAUUGUGUUCCUUUUUUAUUGCAACUAUAUAUACAUGUAAUAUUAUGUAAUAUGUUAUGCCUAGUAAAACUAAUUGAAUAU
rnacentral:misc_RNA from 1 species